rnacentral:lncRNA from 1 species
UAAACCCUAACAGAAGCACUAUCAUCACCACUAGCUACUGCACUGUCAGUAAACAAAUUAACCUACGUAUUAACCAUGGGUGCUCGAGAAGCAUUAGCUUGAGGGGAGUGUUGGUAACGUCUAUGACUGAAAUCAAAUUGUUGUGCCCAACUAAGGGAAACCUUAACAGUCUCAAGAGCCGUCCAAGUAACGUCUUGACAGAUGAAAGUAUUCAUUUUUUUUCUAGGUGCACCAUUCAAUUAGGCCAAAAAGACAAGACCAAAUUACCCCUCG